rnacentral:rRNA from 1 species
UACAGAGGGGGCAAGCGUUGUUCGGAAUUACUGGGCGUAAAGGGCGCGUAGGCGGCCUGUUAAGUCAGACGUGAAAUCCCUCGGCUCAACCGGGGAACUGCGUCUGAUACUGGCGGGCUCGAGGCCGGUAGGGGGAAGUGGAAUUCCCGGUGUAGUGGUGGAAUGCGUAGAUAUCGGGAGGAACACCAGUGGCGAAGGCGGCUUCCUGGACCGGUUCUGACACUGAGGAGCGAAAGCGUGGGGAGCGAUCCGG